GAAAUACCUGACUCAUUUUUCAUUACCUCUCUUUCUUGUUGUUCUCUCUUUUCUCUAUUUUUUCACCCAUAACAUUCAAUUCAUCGUUACUAAUAAUAAAUCUCUACACACGGCCCCAUCCAUUUCACGAAUUUGAUUCCGGCAUCGGCAAACAUGAUUCCUCGCGAAAAGAAAGGGGUUUUAAGGAAGUGAAGUGAUAAGGAGUGUUGAUUAUCAAACCGUGAACUGUUGAUUAUUGUUGUUUUGUGCGAUUGAUUUUUGUUCAAUUUCUUCAAUCUGGGUUAUGUUGUUGUUUCGUUUUCUGGCGUACAUGAAGAAGGUUGUUGAUUCUGGGUUUGCGACAUGGUGUGGUGGCGACGGCGAUGACCGACGACUGCCACAACGUUUCCGUUCUCAGUCGUCUUCAUUUCCGGGUUCGUUGGGUUUUCCGGCCAGAGCGUGUUUACAGGUUCGUUCGUUUGAUUUGGUGGUGAUUUUCUGAGAUCCAUGAAUUUUUCUUGUGAAAAGAGGAUUUGGUAUUGACGAUGAAGGUUUUGAGUGAUUUUUCUGGGGGGUUAAGCAUGAAUGAGAAGAACAAACCCAGAAUAUAAUAAAGUUUUGAAUAUAAUAAAAGAUUUUCUGAGUUCCAUGAAUUGUUCUUGUUUUGUUGCUAACAUCUUGUACUCUUUUGUAUCUAAUAAAGCUUUGAACUAAAACACCAGACCUCUUGAGUCUGAUUUCUGCAGGUUUUGCUUUAAUGUAUUUUUACUUAUCAAGACAAAUUGUUAUUGAUUUUGAAUCUGAAAGAUAUAAGCCGCUAGUAAUGAUAAUAUGCUUCUUGUUUUUAAUGAUUUUGAAAGAUAUAACCGCUUUUUUUUUAAAGAAGAGAAGUGAAGGUGGUGUCGUGAUGCAGAGAAGAAAAGAGGACUGAAGGUUUCGAGAAGAUGACAUCAGGGGAGCACUUUGUCUUCAGGAGCGCCUUAUCUUCAGGAGCAGUUUUCUUCAGACGCUUUAAGCUUUCUUUUUGUUGAUUCCUUUGCUCUUUAUUGUUCUUCUAAGACCUUUUUAAGAUGACAAUAUUUUGUCUAUAAUCAUGUACACUUGAACAAAUAUAGCAUAUACAAUUGACAAUUUUUAAUA